UGGACUUAGAUUCUGGCUUCUCUCAGGGCUGUGGCACCUGCUCCCCCCACCACCACCAUGACCUGAAGCUCCCUGAGCACAGGCUGUUUGCUGAAUAGGACCCCAUUUGACUCCCCAAAAGGCCCUGGAUCCUCACCACCCCUCCUUGGAGAAGGGCCUGGAAGCAGAUGGAGUAUGGUGUCUCUGUGGAGUGGCCUAGGGGAGGAAGAAGAUGGGCAGAAAACUCCUGGUUGGGCCCCAGCACCCACCCCAGUGCCUGCUCUCACCCGGCUUCAUGUGCCUGGGAGAAACCCACGUGGAGCCGAGACUUGCAUGGAAUCGUUGACAUCUCAUCCAUUUCCCAACCCCCACAGAAAAUUCCCCUAAGUUACAUUUCCGCCAAAGAUCAUGAAAACAGAUUUUCAGGAAAUGCUAGUGCUCGCUGCUCUGCUCUUCCAGCCAGAGCCACUGCAGUGCUGCCAGGAGGAUGGCUUCAAGAGGUGGCAAAAGCUGAGUGGGGCAGGCCAGAGGGGCCUUUGCCCAUUGCAAGGCAAGGCCUGCUGGCCUCAUCAGCCUCUCCUCAGAGCCCUCAGCCAGCAGACACUAUCCCGCCUUCGCUUAGACAAUGGUCAAGUUCAUUCCUUUGAUGCCAAACCCCACGGUAUCGUCUGAGUGGCAUUCAGCUCCAGCAUUGGUUCACCAGUGUGUAAUGGCAAGAUGCUACACUCCGGCCCUGCUCCAUGUCCUGAGAGAAGGGCAUGAGCAGGUGAGGACUGAGCCCUCAGCGUGGCUUUGCUGAGGGGUGGAGACUAUACACAAUGGAUGAGAGAAAUAGUUGAGUAUGCCUUGGUGUCCCAGACAAGGGCUCUUCAUCUGGUUCUGGGUCCCAGAGACUUUGCUUUGCCCUGUGUUUAAUUCCCACCAACUAAUGGGUUUGAGUUUUACAUUUAAUGAUAGGUUCUGUUUGGAGUUAAAUUUGAAUAAGAUGCGGUGUAACUUUUGAUUCAUUUUCUGGGGAAGAGAAUAUUCUCCAGGAAUAGUCUCUAUGGUACCAUCUGACGUCCACUGAUGGUUUCUGCAGAUUGAGUCCAUGUUCAUACUCACCCUGAAAAGCUGUGGGAGCAUUCAAGAGCAGUGAGUGUGAUAGCCCAUGGGAGUCACUAGGACUGCAGAAGAAAACUCAAUUCCCCUAGGCCUAGGAUAGCCCUUUGCAGCCCCCAAUAAUUUCUUCUCCUCCUGGUUGGCCCCACACAACCCCUCCAGACCCACCCAGAUCUGCCAGAGCUAUGCACUGCACACUCCACACUGCCACCCUUAAGGUGCAAGACCUGUGCUGUGGGGGUUAGGACUGCGGGGCACUUGGCAGGGUGACAGAGAGGACAAGAAAUCCUAAAGACAGUACUGGGGAAAGACGCACUUGGGUUCCCUGCCAAGCCACAAGGUCUGAUGUCAACCCCCCUGGUGUUUUCUGAGCCCUCUUGCAGGGGCUGAGGCCUUAUGUCCUUAAAGAAGCCCAUGCUGUCUAUGAAGCAAUGCAUUGCCCUCCCCUGGUGCUGCCGAUGAAGCCCGUUUCCUCUUCAGGCCCCUGCAGAAAAAUGAAAAACAUCUGGGAAACAUCUGCAAACUCAGACUUGAGUGCACUUAAGGCUCUGGGUCCGCACUGCCCCUCCCCCAGAAUUAAGGCGCUGAGUGGAGACAGGCCAUUUUCUUCACAGUAGUGCUGGGAUCUGCCCACCAGGGGAAGAGGCCAACCCUCACAACAGUCCCUCUGCCCUAGUGUGUCCCCUGUACCACUGUGGGACAAGGACAAGACUGGGUGAGAGAUCGAAAGCUGGCUACACUUUGACCUUGACUCUGGGAUCUCAAAGGUUGGAGAGGGUCUGACAGGCCCUGAAAGGGGGAUAGCUUAGGCAGGAAAGAGCACAUAUUACCUACAUUGUAACGAUGACUAGACACCAGAGAGGUCUCUCUGAGCCCAAGCAACAUCCAGACAUCUAGACUACGCAUUUACUGUCCACCCAACCAGCUUGACUUGGGAAGGAAAUGUAAGAAUACCCAACUUUACUAAAGUGACCAGUGUGUUCUACUUACAGACAGUCCAAGCCGCUCCCAGGCUUUUUUGGAAUGGAGGCAUUGAGAAAUCUUGAGUGAUCUGGGCGAUCCAACUAGCUGAAUGUUCAGUGGGACAAGGGAAUAAGAUACUGUCUGUGCUUGUGCCUCCAGAAUCCCACUACUAGUCUGCUUGCUUUUCUGAAUUAUUCAGGAAACGUGUAACUUUUACCUUCCUCUAGCUCUUGUCUAAGCGUACUUUACUUAAUACAUUGGUUUUUCCAACAUUUAGGGUUUCCUUGCUUUCUCUAGAGCACCCCCCACCCCCGCCCACAUGGUUCCUUGUCUGCUGUGUGUCUGCCCACCAUGCCAGCCUCAAUGGUAUGGAUUUCUUUCUUCUCUCCUCCGUUCUCCUCCUCUGGGUGGAAGCUGAAAUUUACAGCUGGCCUGCCCCCGGGAUUUUCUUUAAACUCUAAUAAAGUCGUCAUUGAGCUUCUGUUUGAGUUCA
rnacentral:lncRNA from 1 species